CCUACGGGUGGCAGCAGUGAGGAAUAUUGGUCAAUGGACGCAAGCCUGAACCAGCCAUGCCGCGUGCAGGAAGACGGCUCUAUGAGUUUUAAACUGCUUUUGUACGAGGGUAAAUGCAGAUACGUGUAUCUGUCUGAAAGUAUCGUACGAAUAAGGCUCGGCUAACUCCGUGCCAGCAGCCGCGGUAAUACGGAGGAUUCAAGCGUUAUCCGGAUUUAUUGGGUUUAACGGGUGCGUAGGCGGUCGGGUAAGUUAGAGGUGAAAUCCCGAGGCUCAACUUCGGGAUUGCCUCUGAUACUGUUCGGCUGGAGAGUAGUUGCGGUAGGCGGAAUGUAUGGUGUAGCGGUGAAAUGCUUAGAGAUCAUGCAGAACACCGAUUGCGAAGGCAGCUUACCAGGCUACUUCUGACGUUGAGGCACGAAAGCGUGGGGAGCAAACAGGAUCAGAUACCCUUGUAGUC
rnacentral:rRNA from 1 species